rnacentral:lncRNA from 1 species
CCUUUUCACUAAAACCCCAUAAGUUAUUACAAAUUAUUAUAGACUAGAAUGAAUAAACAAACGUAAAAUGAAAUUACAUCAGAAAGCUAAUAAUCCCAAUCAAGGAGAGCCUGAUUCAGACUUUUGUCUGAAGCUUGAAGCAAACCAACUCCAAAUGUCCAAGUUUGGAGGGAGCUAAAGGUCCCAAAACAAGGCUUAUAGGAUGAGGUUCUAAGAGAGAUGCAAGUGCGUAUAGGGGAUUUGGGGAAAGCCAAUAUAGGUUGAUGGUCAUACCCAUCAAUUAAAAGUGCUGGCACGCCCCGACCAGUAUGUUAGCUACAUUGUUUGGGAGUUAGAAUCCAUUAAAGGAUCAAGUCCAGAUAUUAGAAACAAUUGUGACGUUGCUAUGCUUUGAACUAUAACUCAAACACAUAGAAGGGAAUGGGGGUAUAGGGGUUCUCAAUAGCAAAAGAUGCAAAGAGAACAUCAUAUACAAUACUGAGCAUAAACAUCAAAAUAGACAAGAUUGUAGAAGCUGUAAAGAAAACACAUGGGGAUGAGGCAGAAAACUAAAUUAGAACUUACCGGUUUCAGGGAAACAAGAAGAGAAAGUAGUGGUCUUGUAAAGCCAAAUUGCAAGCAAAUAGUCAGAAAAUCUUAGAAGUAAGCUAUGAGAUUAUGGGUGUAAAAAUAUGGAAAUGGAAGGUGUUUAUUAAGUAAAGUGUGUGUUCAAAGUGCAGAAGGGUCGUGCCCUUUAUUACGCAGAAAGCAAGUAGAAAUAGGUAAGAAAAUAGUUUUGAAAUCCAUUACAUAUGUUCUCCUUCAAUUAAGGGAUUCUAAUUCAAACGGGACAAAAAUAAUUAAGGAAAGGGGUUAAUCAACAUUUUUCCAAAGCAGCACGAGAAGGGUAAGUACACAGAGACUUAUUAAAGGAAAAAGUCUGAUAGCACAUGGUUUGUGCAAAUAAGGAAAGGCAACCACUCAACAGCCAACAACAACAACUACCCAGUAUACUCCCACC